rnacentral:rRNA from 1 species
GACGAACCGUGCGAACGUUGUUCGGAAUCACUGGGCUUAAAGGGCGCGUAGGCGGGCUAUCAAGUCUGGGGUGAAAUCCCGCGGCUCAACCGUGGAACUGCCUUAGAUACUGACGGCCUUGAGGAAGGUAGGGGCAUGCGGAACUGUAGGUGGAGCGGUGAAAUGCGUUGAUAUCUACAGGAACUCCGGUGGCGAAAGCGGCGUGCUGGACCUUUUCUGACGCUGAGGCGCGAAAGCUAGGGGAGCAAACAGG